GUCUGCAUCUGGGUUCGUUCCUGAAAUAUCCUGGCACCAUCCAUUCUGUCAUUCAUUCUGAACUCAGACAUCUGUUGCAUCCUUUAAGUGCUGUGAGAAGAUAUUAAAUCGUACAUACGAUUGGAAAUGAAGUUUGAAUCAUUUAUUGAAAUGGGAAGGCCGGAUGAGGUGACAGCUGGUGACACACCAUGACGUUUGUUUCCUGAGAGCAGAGCGGUGUGCAAUUUCACCUCUACCAACAAGAGAUCUCCUUUAAAUCGCCACCUCAAAUAUGAUGAACAAUAUGCCAACGGUCUUAAGUGAAAUGAAUUGGCAACGCGAACGCUGACACUGUGUCUACACCGCAAGCUACAGACACAAUGCAAUACACAAGAACAAUGUCUUGCUGUGUGCAAACUUUGAAUAAAACUAUUAAACAAUUUG